rnacentral:rRNA from 1 species
GACGAACGCUGGCGGCGUGCUUAACACAUGCAAGUCGAGCGGAAAGGCUCCUUCGGGGGUACUCGAGCGGCGAACGGGUGAGUAACACGUGAGUAAUCUGCCCUUGGCUUCGGGAUAGCCACCGGAAACGGUGAUUAAUACCGGAUAUGACCACUUCUCGCAUGGGAUGGUGGUGGAAAGUUUUUCGGCCAGGGAUGUGCUCGCGGCCUAUCAGCUUGAUGGUGAGGUAAUGGCUCACCAUGGCUUCGACGGGUAGCCGGCCUGAGAGGGUGACCGGUCACACUGGGACUGAGACACGGCCCAGACUCCUACGGGAGGCAGCAGUGGGGAAUAUUGGACAAUGGGCGGAAGCCUGAUCCAGCAACGCCGCGUGAGGGAUGACGGCCUUCGGGUUGUAAACCUCUUUUCGGUAGGACGAAGCGCAAGUGACGGUACCUACUAAAGAAGCACCGGCCAACUACCUGGCAGCAGCCGCGGUAAUACGUAGGGUGCGAGCGUUGUCCGGAAUUAUUGGGCGUAAAGGGCUCGUAAGCGGUUUGUCGCGUCGGGAGUGAAAACCAGGUGCUUAACACCUGGCUUGCUUUCGAUACGGGCAGACUAGAGGUAUGCAGGGGAGAACGGAAUUCCUGGUGUAGCGGUGAAAUGCGCAGAUAUCAGGAGGAACACCGGUGGCGAAGGCGGUUCUCUGGGCAUGACCUGACGCUGAGGAGCGAAAGUGUGGGGAGCGAACAGGAUUAGAUACCCUGGUAGUCCACACCGUAAACGUUGGGCGCUAGGUGUGGGGUCCAUUCCACGGAUUCCGGGCCGCAGCUAACGCAUUAAGCGCCCCGCCUGGGGAGUACGGCCGCAAGGCUAAAACUCAAAGGAAUUGACGGGGGCCCGCACAAGCGGCGGAGCAUGCGGAUUAAUUCGAUGCAACGCGAAGAACCUUACCUGGGUUUGACAUAUACCCUGCCGCUCCAGAGAUGGGGCUUCUUUUGGGGGUGUACAGGUGGUGCAUGGCUGUCGUCAGCUCGUGUCGUGAGAUGUUGGGUUAAGUCCCGCAACGAGCGCAACCCUCGUUCUAUGUUGCCAGCAUGCCCUUCGGGGUGAUGGGGACUCAUAGGAGACUGCCGGGGUCAACUCGGAGGAAGGUGGGGAUGACGUCAAGUCAUCAUGCCCCUUAUGUCCAGGGCUUCACGCAUGCUACAAUGGCCGGUACAAAGGGCUGCGAUCCCGUGAGGGGGAGCGAAUCCCAAAAAGCCGGUCUCAGUUCGGAUUGGGGUCUGCAACUCGACCCCAUGAAGUCGGAGUCGCUAGUAAUCGCAGAUCAGCAACGCUGCGGUGAAUACGUUCCCGGGCCU